AUGCCCAGUUAGAUCUCAAGUUCAGAUAAACAAUGAAAAAUUUAAUAGUAUAAACAUGUCCCUUGCAAUAUUUGGGACAUACUUAUACUAAAAAAUUAUUCGGUGUUUAUCUGAACUUCAAAUCUAACUGGCUGUCUG
rnacentral:miRNA from 1 species